ACCUUAUACAGAUGUAGUGACGCAAGACAGUGACGCAUCUCCCUGUAAGGUGGUGCUUACGUAGAAGUAUGAGCAACAAGUUCUAUUGCGUGGCUUUUGAGUCGAAAUGGAAUGAGCUUAUAUGGAAUAGGUUAACCGUAAGACCUUGAAUUGAAAUAUUCUAAAAUUGACCUAGAAAUGUCUUUCUCAAAUUUUGCUAUUUCUAGUUACGGUGCU
rnacentral:ncRNA from 1 species